rnacentral:rRNA from 1 species
AUGAACGCUGGCGGCGUGCCUAAUACAUGCCAGUCAAGCGAACAGACGAGGAGCUUGCUCCUCUGACGUUAGCGGCGGACGGGUGAGUAACACGUGGAUAACCUACCUAUAAGACUGGGAUAACUUCGGGAAACCGGAGCUAAUACCGGAUAAUAUAUUGAACCGCAUGGUUCCAUAGUGAAAGACGGUUUUGCUGUCACUUAUAGAUGGAUCCGCGCCGCAUUAGCUAGUUGGUAAGGUAACGGCUUACCAAGGCAACGAUGCGUAGCCGACCUGAGAGGGUGAUCGGCCACACUGGAACUGAGACACGGUCCAGACUCCUACGGGAGGCAGCAGUAGGGAAUCUUCCGCAAUGGGCGAAAGCCUGACGGAGCAACGCCGCGUGAGUGAUGAAGGUCUUCGGAUCGUAAAACUCUGUUAUUAGGGAAGAACAAAUGUGUAAGUAACUAUGCACGUCUUGACGGUACCUAAUCAGAAAGCCACGGCUAACUACGUG